CAUAAUGUAUUCGUUUGAAUAUCUGCGAAAAGCCAAUGAGAAACCGCGCGUUAUUCAGAAUGCCCAUUGCGGUGGGCGGAAGGCGCUGAUUGGGGCCGGGGCAGGCGGAGGCGGCUGCGGGCGGGUCCCAUUGCCGGCCCGGCCCUGCCCGUUCCGGCCGCGUGUCCCUGGCAGCGGAGCGGCGGCGGCAGCGGCUGUGCUGAGGAGCAGGAAGACCCACGGCCACAUGAGGGAGACCCGUGCAGAAGCCUUGGUGCCCAGAGGGGAUCCUGACCAGCGGCCUGGAGAGCUGCAGCUGUGCUGAGGAACAGGAAGACCCACGGCCACAUGAGGGAGACCCGUGGAGGAGCCUUGGUGCCCAGAGGGGAUCCUGACCAGCGGCCUGGAGAGCUGCAGGCCUGAAGAUGCCUCAGGAUUCAGAGGAAGAAGCUGACACUGACCAGACAGAAUCCUGUGUUUGAAUGGAAUUUCUGCAUCAUGGAUGAGUCCUCCCUCUAUCAUCCCUAAGCCUCUGGGAAGAGCCCAAAGGGAUGGAAGAGCCUAAAACGCUGCUGGAGUGCCUGAGCUGCUCCCAGCUGUGGAUGUUCCUGUUCACAAACCUCUCCUGCAAGGGAGCGGGACAUUCCCAUCCCCACGGAUCAGGGCUGGGAGCAGCACUUGGAGCACGGACAUGGAAAUACUGGGAGCGACUGGGAGCUCACUGAGAGGGUGAAUUAUCCCCCCUGCCCUUCUCAGGCCGCCCUGCCAGCUGAGAAAUGCUCCUUGGGGCUCGGCCUUGGCCAACAGCCCCUGGGCUCAGCUCCUCUGCAGCUCAUCACAAGCACUGUCUGCUCCAGGCACUGCUGCUGCCCAACCAGCUCCUGGUUUCUGUAGGAGCAGCCCUGGGAACUGUUUUUGUUCCCUCAGUGGCACAACAUCCCUGUUCUCACACUGCCAAAGAAAGCUGUUGGUGCCAAGUGCAGCCAGGAUGAGCCAUUGCUGGGACUGCAGCCCCUCUCUUGGGGCCCUGCAAACAGCACUCCAAAAGGAGCCCUUGGAGCUCUCCUGGGCCAGCGAUUCCCUCUGAGUGGGGCCUCUCCCAGCCGGGAACUCUCCCGUUUGCUGCACUCGGGGAUCCCGAACAACGACGGAGCCUGGGCCGAUCCCCCCACUCCUCCAGGCUCAGCCCUUUGCCCUUUGCUGGUGAGAUGCCAAAGGAUCAGCAGUGAGCAUUUCCUGCCCUCAGGGGAAUUGCUCACACGUGCCUUGCACUGACUCUUUGUGUCUGUGUGCACACAGGAGUGCCUGUGCUGGGGAGAUGUGGCAGACAUGCUUCUCUCUGAGGGGUUUGAGUGCCUUGGACAGCUGAGUCAGUCAGGCCUGUAGGGAAGGUUAAAUCACAAGCUGUAAGUGAAGUUAAAUGCUGCUGAGCUUAGUUCUUAGUUACUAAGUUGUUACCUUUAAUAUAAGUUAUAAGCUAAGUUAAAUAUUGUAAAGUGUUUUUCCUCUGUUGAAUUGCAAAGUCAUAGGUUUAAGUUGGUUAAAUGCUGUUGCACUCUGCUGUUUUGCUAAAUUGUGAACCUAAGGUAUCAGUUAACAUUAAGGUACAAGUUAAGUCCUGUUAAGUUUGAGCUCUGUUAAGCUUUUAGGCCGUAUUCCUUUUAUCCUUGCCCUCACUGUGUUUGUGUCACACACACAGGGACAGUUCUCUGUUCAUUUCUGGUUGGAUUUCCUGGAUUUUGUUUGGUUUUGUUGUUGCUUUGUUUCCUUGGUGUGCCUGAAGUGUCCAGUCAGGAGCAGAGGGACUCUUGCCAAGGAACUUUGUGCUGCUGUCCCUUAGUAUUAAAUCUGG